CGCAUUUGAUAGACAUCCGUGGCACCCAAUAAACGGAUCUGGGCAUUUUUUUCAAAUACGAGAAAAUGAACGUUUGGUUCCCAGACCACGUCUCAUUGAGAAGUGGUGGCGCUAGCCAGGCUACUGAGUUAAGGAAACCUCUGACUGAUGCACACAUUCCAAUUAGGGUCCCAUCUUUGUGGAGGUCUGUAACGUGGAUUCCUAAAGUGUUGUCCAUAGAGCAAUAACCUGUCCAGGCCUUGCCUUGCAUGCAGACCUUGUCGUUUAAUGUACUGUGCAGAGUUGGACCAAGUCCAUCUGUUCUGGCCAGUAGACACAACUCCCAUGAUGUCACUUAGAGCAUGGCUAAGUAGAUAACCUUAAGUGUGUGAGGAAGUAGAGUGUCUAUGCUCAGAUUGGUGGGGAAAAACUUAAAGUAUUAUUGUACAGUGCCUAACUGUGAAUGUUUUGGCAUUAAUCAAGAAGUUUGAAUUUGUUUUUUUUAAUAUGAGCUACAUUAUUUCAAAUGUUAUACGUCAUUCAACAGAAUCAUUCAGACUUAUUCCAAAGCUCCUUUAAAAAGAACAAAAACAGAGAUGCAGAUGUUUCACUUUAACCUAAAUAUAUAAUCAUUCCUGUGCUGUAGUUGGUUUGCCCUUUCAUCUUGUGUCAUUGGGCUCUUUCAUAGAUAUCCUAUCCAGUGCAUUGUUGUAAUAUUCCCUGUCCAUUCAAAAGGGCCCUGUUAUAGCACUGCAGUUCAUUAAUUUCUUCAGUUCACCUGCUGUAUGCCAUUGCAACAGCUCUAGUGGUCUAGAGGAAUUCUUCCAGUUGAGUUAAUGUGAUGAUGCACAGCCCAAACCUCUUGAGCAAAGUUAAUGGGUACUGUUGAUGACUGGUGGUGUUUUGGGCAUCUACCCAUUCAUUUAUAUGGAGAACUUUGACCAUCAGUGAGUGGGCAGUUUUUCAUGACCAUCCAAUCUGAAAACUGGGAACAGGUCAUAUAAUUGCCCAGCAACAUUGCUCAAAAAGUUGCCCCAUGUAUCAUCAAGUCUUUGGAUACUCUUAAUAAUAGGAAUUUAGCAUAAUGGUUUAUGCACUAUCGACUAAUUACAGCAGCAUCUUAAGUGAUAUUCUCCUUUACAGAAAGUUAUACUUUUUUUCUUGUCAUUUCUUUAUGGUAAUGGAUUGAUGGAUCAUGUAGCUAUGAGAUUGAAACAUUGAUUGAUAUCAGCGACUUGCUGGAUUUGUAUGCUACUGGUAGAAAGAAACCAGGCCAUGAUCUUGUUGAAUGUGCCAAGUGCUUGGCAGAGAAGGGGUAUGUAUAUCUAUGUAACACUGAGAGUGUUAAUCAUAGUUUCUAUAUGCAUAUAAUCAUGGAUCUAACCUUUAUUCCUUUCUUUAGGGUUUCCUAAACUAAGGGCAGGUGUAAAAUAAUCUUCAAAUUCCAUUCCUUGUGUGGGUUAAGAGUAAUAUUUUGUUAGAACUUCAGCUCUUAAUGAACAAAUUUUGUCUGUUGUGCAGGUCUCCCUAUAUAAAUGUGCAGUGUGUGAGGGUUGAAUAUGUGAUUUUUUUUUUCUUAGUCUCUGCACUAAGUCAACUAGACCAUCAGUUUGUAGUACCAAAGACUAGUGCAUGAGGAAUGUUGUAUAGUGUGCCCUAAAGCAGGCCUGCCCUGGGCGGGGUGAUCCCACAUACAAUAGAAGCAGUCUAAUUCACCAGGUCCUCAACACACUGAUACAUUGGACGUGGGGAACUAUUUUUGUAGGGGCCCUUUUGUAUCCAUUGGUCCUGUGGUGAAAUAAAAGAAUGCUUCACGAUGGAAA